rnacentral:lncRNA from 1 species
GAUUAAACUAUUUAUCUAGCACAAAAGAAUUAUUAGCUAAUUGGUUUUUAAUAUGAUGACGUAAUUUAAGGAGAAGAUUAGCACGCGCUUACAGCGCCCUCUAUAAUGAGAAGAUCAGCACGCGCUGGGAGCGUCCUCUUUCUCGCUGACUUCCAACGAAGGUAGACGUGCUUUUAGUGCUCUGUCAAACUAUUUCAAUCUAAGUCUCUAAAGAAAUAUUUAUAAGUUUAUAUUUUGUGAUGUAUUAAUGUAAACACUAUCUAAAUGUGUUGAGAAUAUAUUUUUUAAGUAAUUUGGUUGCACGUUUGAAAUAAAUUAAAUUAGUUUUUACAAUUAUAUUUCGUGGCACCACGACUUAAUUGAUACGGGAUAAAAAAUGCAUCAUAAUUUGUGAUUUAUGAUAAAUAAUAAGAGUAAAAUAACUGUGCAGUUAUUUAACAGUUUGAAUAAUAAUAAUAAUAAAACAGCAGCAAAAUAAAGACAGUAAACAUACAAAUAGAUUCUAUAUAUAUUUUUUUUUUCUCUUUUACAUAUAUCUACACCAUGCCGAAAUCCAAACGUAAUAGAUCCUGACCUUGGCGGACCAGGUACAAAAAGAAGGCACGCACAAACCAGUGCCGGCUGAUAACGACGACGUCGGGCUGAUAAGAACACAGCCACCGGCUUCAGCUAGUAUUUUGUUGCAGACGUUAAAUGCCGCAUGAGCAGUACCGGAUACAUACCAGCUCCAACUCCACUUUGUCAUGGCUGGAUGCGUCAUAGAAAUGCAUACUUUCUAAAAAGAUAUAUUGAUCUACUUACGGAAGAACAGAAAACAAUAUAUACAGACUAUACACUAUAUAGUUUAAAAGUUUUGCUUUCGUUGCCGGAGCAAAAAAGUUGGGUAUAAUCUAGUGCAUAAACAAAAGAACAUUAGCUGCAAGAUUUAUGACAUUUAGUGGCGUUUUUAACGCAUAAAAAUCCGCUCUGCUACCGUUUCCGGAGCAGAAUUUUAGGUACAAAGACUUCUAGAUUAUCAUCAUUGCAUUUAUUCAUAAAGUUAUUCAAAAUUAUAUAUUCACAGCCAUGGCCAAUAUAUGCCACUAUCUAAGAAUAAAUUUCAUCAAACUUUA